CCUACGGGGGGCAGCAGUGGGGAAUAUUGGACAAUGGGGGGAACCCUGAUCCAGCCAUGCCGCGUGUGUGAAGAAGGCCCUCGGGUUGUAAAGCACUUUCAGUGAGGAAGAACGCCUGGUGGUUAAUACCCAUCAGGAAAGACAUCACUCACAGAAGAAGCACCGGCUAACUCCGUGCCAGCAGCCGCGGUAAUACGGAGGGUGCGAGCGUUAAUCGGAAUUACUGGGCGUAAAGCGCGCGUAGGUGGCUUGAUAAGCCGGUUGUGAAAGCCCCGGGCUCAACCUGGGAACGGCAUCCGGAACUGUCAAGCUAGAGUGCAGGAGAGGAAGGUAGAAUUCCCGGUGUAGCGGUGAAAUGCGUAGAGAUCGGGAGGAAUACCAGUGGCGAAGGCGGCCUUCUGGACUGAGACUGACACUGAGGUGCGAAAGCGUGGGUAGCAAACAGGAUUAGAUACCCCUGUAGUC
rnacentral:rRNA from 1 species